rnacentral:rRNA from 1 species
UGGUUCUGGCAUCGAUGAAGAACGCAGCGAAAUGCGAUAAGUAGUGUGAAUUGCAGAAUUCAGUGAAUCAUCGAAUCUUUGAACGCACAUUGCGCCCUUUGGUAUUCCAAAGGGCAUGCCUGUUCGAGCGUCAUUUGUACCCUCAAGCUUUGCUUGGUGUUGGGCGUCUUGUCUCUAGCUUUGCUGGAGACUCGCCUUAAAGUAAUUGGCAGCCGGCCUACUGGUUUCGGAGCGCAGCACAAGUCGCACUCUCUAUCAGCAAAGGUCUAGCAUCCAU